rnacentral:rRNA from 1 species
UGCUUUCCUGUAGGUGAACCUGCGGAAGGAUCAUUG